rnacentral:rRNA from 1 species
CCUACGGGUGGCAGCAGUGAGGAAUCUUGGUCAAUGGCCGCAAGGCUGAACCAGCCACGUCGCGUGAAGGAAGAAGGAUCUCUGGUUUGUAAACUUCUUUUAUAGGGGAAUAAAGGUAUCCAAGUGUGGGUAUUUGCAUGUACCCUAUGAAUAAGCAUCGGCUAACUCCGUGCCAGCAGCCGAGGUAAUACGGAGGAUGCGAGCGUUAUCCGGAUUUAUUGGGUUUAAAGGGUGCGUAGGUUGUUUUUUAAGUCAGCGGUGAAAGUGUUUGGCUCAACCUUAAAAUUGCCGUUGAAACUGGAAGACUUGAGUGUGUUUGAGGUAGGCGGAAUGCGUGGUGUAGCGGUGAAAUGCAUAGAUAUAACGCAGAACUCCGAUUGCGAAGGCAGCUUACUAAGCCAUAACUGACACUGAAGCACGAAAGCGUGGGGAUCGAACAGGAUUAGAUACCCGGGUAGUC